CGCGGGGUGAGCAGCCCGGUAGCUCGUCAGGCUCAUAACCUGAAGGUCGUAGGUUCAAAUCCUACCCCCGCAACCA
rnacentral:tRNA from 1 species